rnacentral:misc_RNA from 1 species
GAUGAAGAACGUAGCGAAAUGCGAUAAGUAAUGUGAAUUGCAGAAUUCAGUGAAUCAUCGAAUCUUUGAACGCACAUUGCGCCCGCCAGUAUUCUGGCGGGCAUGCCUGUUCGAGCGUCAUUUCAACCAUCAAGCCCCCCGGCUUGUGUUGGGGACCUGCGGCUGCCGCAGGCCCUGAAAAGCAGUGGCGGGCUCGCUGUCACACCGAGCGUAGUAGCAUACAUCUCGCUCUGGGCGUGCUGCGGGUUCCGGCCGUUAAACCACCUUCAUAACCCAAGGUUGACCUCGGAUCAGGUAGGAAGACCCGCUGACCUUAAGCAUAUCAAUAAGCGGAGGA